rnacentral:misc_RNA from 1 species
GCAAGGGAACUUGCUCGCAACUGCCUUCCAUCCUGAAUUAACAUCAGAUAAUAGAUGGCACAGUUACUUCCUGAAGAUGGCCGGCGAUGUUGAAGAAUCCUCUAGUAGCAUAGCAAGCAUAGGAGUUGACAAUUCGAGAUUUGAAAGAUCGAAGACCGACCUUCCGAUUUUUCUUUAGUUUAAACCAAAUGAACCCCUCCUCAACCCAAACUACAUUUUCAAAGUUUCAUUCUAGGUUUAAUCUAUCUAUUCUGCAGUUUGCA